rnacentral:rRNA from 1 species
AAUUUCACUUUGAGAUGGACCCGCGGCGCAUUAGCUAGUUGGUGAGGUAAAGGCCCACCAAGGCAACGAUGCGUAGCCGACCUGAGAGGGUGAUCGGCCACAUUGGAACUGAGGCACGGUCCAGACUCCUACGGGAGGCAGCAGUGGGGAAUAUUGCGCAAUGGGGGAAACCCUGACGCAGCAACGCCGCGUGAAUGAUGAAGGCCUUCGGGUUGUAAAGUUCUGUCUUCUGGGACGAUAAUGACGGUACCAGAGGAGGAAGCCACGACUAACUACGUGCCAGCAGCCGCGGUAAUACGUAGGUGGCAAGCGUUGUCCGGAUUUACUGGGCGUAAAGGAUGCGUAGGCGGACAUUUAAGUCAGAUGUGAAAUACCCGAGCUUAACUUGGGUGCUGCAUUUGAAACUGGGUGUCUAGAGUGCAGGAGAGGUAAGUGGAAUUCCUAGUGUAGCGGUGAAAUGCGUAGAGAUUAGGAAGAACACCAGUGGCGAAGGCGACUUACUGGACUGUAACUGACGCUGGGGCAUGAAAGCGUGGGGAGCAAACAGGAUUAGAUACCCUGGUAGUCCACGCCGUAAACGAAGAGUACUAGGUGUCGGGGGUCGAACCUCGGUGCCGCCGUUAACACAUUAAGUAUUCCGCCUGGGGAGUACGAUCGCAAGAUUAAAACUCAAAGGAAUUGACGGGGGCCCGCACAAGCAGCGGAGCAUGUGGUUUAAUUCGAAGCAACGCGAAGAACCUUACCUAGACUUGACAUCCCUUGCAUAGCUCAGAGAUGAGUGAAGUCCUUCGGGACAAGGUGACAGGUGGUGCAUGGUUGUCGUCAGCUCGUGUCGUGAGAUGUUGGGUUAAGUCCCGCAACGAGCGCAACCCUUGCCUUUAGUUGCCAGCAUUAAGUUGGGCACUCUAGAGGGACUGCCGAGGUUAACUCGGAGGAAGGUGGGGAUGACGUCAAAUCAUCAUGCCCCUUAUGCUUAGGGCUACACACGUGCUACAAUGGGUGGUACAGAGGGUUGCCAAACCGUGAGGUGGAGCUAAUCCCUUAAAGCCAUUCUCAGAAAAGAUUGUAGGCUGAAACUCGCCUACAUGAAGCUGGAGUUACUAGUAAUCGCAGAUCAGAAUG